UUGACUUUCAGGGCAUAUUUCCAACAGCCGCAACCACCAAUCCCAUUCUCCCUAGUUCUAAGUCCUUGUCGUGCCUCCCUAGUCCUUUUAACCCUUCUACCCUCUUCCAUAACCAUCCAUCCACCACAGCCGUGCCUUCCCACCACCAUCACCACCUUGUGCAGCCACCAAAGGAGGAGAAAGAAGGAGUGCCGUGCAGUCCAAAGGAGGAAGACACCUUGCACAUGCAAUCUGCCAUUAGUGGAGUGUUUGAAGUUCUUUCUUUCUUUGUUUCUGUUUUCAUGUUUAAUUUAAAUUGUUGUUCAAUUAUGUUAGACAUGUGGAAC
rnacentral:lncRNA from 1 species